AGUUCGUGGAGUGAUCUGUCUGCUUAAUUGCGUUUCAAAUUUUAUAUUUGUUAACAUGCGAGUCUUCAAUGACGGCCACUCCACCUUAUAGACAUUAUAUGAUAUGCACAUUUGUGUAUUUGAUUAUAACUUGUCUGGAGUCUGGCUCGAUUUUUUUGACUCAAUUGAACGCAACGGACGUGAUUGCAAGUCCUUGUUGAACAAAUUAUAUAUAUACUACUUCAUCAUUAGUAUAUAUAGUUCGCUUCUCAUGUCGUAGCAGUCAAACGGGCGGGCGUCUUAAUUGGCGCGGUCACGAGGCUUAAUAUGCUGCGGCUGGGAAAACUUGGGCGACCGCUGUAAUACUUCUCUCUUAAACCAGAGGAAGAUUGCGGCAAUAACAGGUCUGUGAUGCCCUCAGAUGUCCCGGGCCGCACACGUGCUACAUUGAUUAGCGCAGUGCGCAUACUUACAUAUAGAUCAUUGAUUGGUUAUUUAUAACCGUCAAUAUCGCCUUGUCUGAAAGGACUAGGUAAUCUAUUGUAAGUGCUGGUUCCUCCUCCCGUUGAGCAUUUUAAUAAUGGUCUCUCUACAUCCCUAGCACAUGAUGUCUAGUGCGAUUGUAGUUGAGUUCUGCCAUUUAUGCAAGUGUCAA
rnacentral:rRNA from 1 species